UGUUCAGCUAGCCCGAGGACCCGCUAUAAAUCUUAAGAUUUAUUUAACGGAAGUCCUUCAAACCGAUAAACAGUCUUUGUUUCAACUAUGGGAAAAUUGGAGAAGUCUAUUUUUCUCAUGAACGACGCGACCCGAUAGCAACUUUCUCUUAAGGCCUGCUAGCACCCUUCCCUAACCACCAACAUGGAAAUUGACCAAUAAACAAUAACACCAAUUUCCCUCAUUUUCCGAACGAAGACUUUUCUCCACGAAUCCGAUGAUCUCGUGCCCUUAGACACACCCAUCAUAGUUUUCCUCGACAGCGUCACCGUGAUGAAGAGACACUCUUCCGUACGAUCUUAACGACGAUACAAGUAAUUCUCAGCGAGAUGGUUGUCCAAAAGUUAUAAAUCUUGGGAGUUCAGAGACUGAUCUAUAUUAUGAAAAGAAAAAAUAUGGGUUCAAUAGAAGAUAAUGACUGAUACCAACAAUUUUUGACGUGUACAAAAUGUUUUUAAUGUCGCAAAUAAACAACUAUAUUUAUAAAAUUGUAAUAAUUUAUAUUUUUUAUUUUAAAAAUUUAAUUUCAAAUUCGCGAUCAUGCAAUCGUUUUGUUACAAAAUGUGUGUACGGAUUAAUGUUUUUGUAAGUUGUAAAGAAAUUUAAAAUAGAGAAAUAAAUUGUAAUCGUGCAUAGA